UUUGGAUUGGAUUUUCACUGACUGAUUCAGAAAUUACAUAAAUAUAAGUGCAUCAGGAUGUUUUACCAAAAACAGUGAGUUUUUUUGUUAAUUGAAUUAUUUUUUUCCCCAAGUUUUUGUUUUGCAAAAUGAACACAGGGAUAGCUGAUUUGCAAAGGUCACUAACUAAAGUGUAGAUUUUAAAAAAUUCAUUAAUUUUUUUUUUUUUUAUAUGUAUAUUUUAGGAUAUAAUAAUGUGUUAAAAUAUAGCUUACGUUGGAGAACAUUUCCAGUUUUACUGGUUUGGCCUAAAAUAUUUACAUUUGCUUUGAAUUGAUGAAAAGUAAUGAUUUGGUAAAAUGUAUUUGGGAAUAACGAUUAAAAACAAAAGUUCAGCCAUAUUCUUAACUUGAAAAUUUGCCUAGGUAUUUUUGGUUUUCAUUGCAGCAUAGUUUAAGAAUUAGUUAUUGUAACUGGAAUUUAUUUAUUUUUAAGGAUUAAAAUCAUUUGAUUGAGCUAGUUCAAGUGUUAAUAUAUUUUAUGCCAACUGUGGUAAUAUAAUAAUAUAUUAUUUUAGUUUGCCAAUUGAAUUAUAUUAAAGGGAAACUAUAGUCACCAGAACAGCAUUAGCUUAAUGACGCUGUUUUGCUAUAUAGAUCAUGCUCCUGCAGUCUCACUGCUCAAAUAGUGGCCAUUUAGGAGUUAAAUCACUUUGUUUAUACAACCUUAGACACCUUCAUGUAUGUAAUUAAAGUUCAAUUUACAAAUCUGGAGAUAAAAACUUUUAAAGUUAGUUACAUGGGAUUGAAAAUGAAACUAUUUUGUUUUCAUUCAAGCACAGCCAGGGGAGGUUUGGCUACGGCUGCAUAAACAGAAACAAAAGUGAUUUAACUCCUAAAUGGCAGUGAAUUGAGCAGUAAAACUACAGAGGUAUGAUCCAUACACCCAAACUGCUUCAUUAAGCUAAAGUUGUUUUGGUGACUAUAGUGUCCCUUUAAAAUGUCAUUAUUAUGAAUUUGGUGGGACUUGAUAAUGUGGCAGUUUAAUAUCAUAACUUUUUUUCUUGCCUAAAUGUAAAAAAACAAGUUUUAAAAAAAUAUAUAUGUACCUAUGAUCAUGGUUUCUAUGGAUUUACAUAUAUUGUUCUACUUUGAUUAUUAAUACAUAUUGUAAGCCUGCCGAGUAGGUAGUUCCCUAGCCCAGGUGUCUUAACGCUAUAAUAUUCAUGAUGCUUUGCCUUUCUGGGGACUAAUAUUGUGUCAUUAAAAUUGUUAUACACCAUCUAGGGAUCUACCUUUUGGGUUAUCCCCGACAUAAGUAAAUAAUUAAACCUCUUAUUCCGUAUAAUCCACUUGUGUCCUGAAAAGUUUUUAGUUUCCCCGAACUACUGAGAAAUUUAAUAUAAUUUCACAAAUCUAAACUUUUGUCGAGAUUUGUAAACCUUGCAUUUGAGAUUUCGGGACUAUUCUAUGUAAAAACCCCCAGCAUUAUACAAGCAGAACUUUCUAGUUUCACUUUAAAGGAACACUAUAGCGCUAGGAAUAUAAACAUGUGUUUCUUACGUUAUAGAGUCCUGCUACCUAUGUAGGUGUCACAGAAUGUUUGAAAGGUCAGUAUUACUUACCUCUCAGCCCAUGCUGCACUUAUCUCCUUGCAGCCAUUCUGUCUCUUUGGCUGAGAUCAUCAGUGUUGAUGAUUUAAUUGCAUCCAUUAGAAGACUAGUGUGCACACGCGACAACAUGCUGUGCUGCGCCAAUCAAAUGCUGCCCAAAUAUGCAGCAUUUGAUCUAUAACAGGGGUGCACAAAAGGUAGAUCCCCAGAUGUUUUAAAACUACAGCUCCCAUGAUUUGUAUUUCUAAAGGCAUUCUAAAAGUAUGCAAAGCAUCUAGGGAGCUAUAGUUCUACAACAUCUGGGGAUCUACUUUUUGGGCACUCCUGAUCUAUAACAAAGGAACAGAAAUGUUCUACAUUGCAGGUUUUAACAGAUAGGGACACUGCACCCAGACCACUUCAUUGAGAUGGAAUGGCCUGGGUGCCUUUAGUGUCUCUUUAAAGUGAAAUUAGUAGCUUGAACACUUGUCACUUAAUUUUCUUACUGAAUUAUAGUGAAAUUAAAUUCAAAUUUUAGGUCAAAAAGUGCUGAUUUAGAAAGUUUGACCAACUCCGAUAUAGUCACAGCAUGCAUAUAUUCAUUGGGGGUAUAUCUUAAAACAGUUUGCAAAAAUGGCAGUUCUUAUGUCUGUAGCCUUUGCAAGCCCUCCCCUUUUUCCCUUGGAAGCGACAUUAGGACACACCUCUUAAUUAUUGAAUUCAGGUGUUUCAAUCAGACCCAUUGCCACAGGUGUAUAAAAUCAAGCACCCAGCCAUGAAGUCUGCACUUACAAACAUUUGUGAAAAAAUGGUUUGUUUUGAAGAGCUCUUUGCAUUCAAACGUGGUACUGUGAUAGGAUUCCACCUUUGCAACAGUCAGUUUAUGAAAUUUCAUCCCUGCUAGAUAUUCCAUGGUCAUCUAUAUGCGGUAUUUUUGGAAGUGGAAUCGUUUAACAACAGCAGCAACUCAACCAUGUAAACUCACAGAGCGGUGUCACCGAGUGCUGAGGUGCAUAAAAGUCGCCAAUGCUCUCUGAUUCAAUACCUGAAGGGUUCCAAACUUCAACUGGCAUUAAAGGACCACUAUAGUGCCCUGAGGGUGCCCCCACCCUCGGGGUCCCUCUCCCGCCGGGCUCUGGGGAGAGGAAGGGGUUAAAAUCUUACCUUUCUCCAGCGCUGGGCGGGGAGCUCUCCUCCUCCUCUCCUCCUCCAUAGCAACGUCUUCGGCUGAAUGCGCAUGCGCAGCAGGAGCCGCGCGCACAUUCAGCCAGUUCAAAGGAAAGCAUUUACAAUGCUUUACUAUGGACGCUGGCGUCUUCUCACUGUGAUUUUCACAGUGAGAAGCACGCAAGCGCCUCUAGCGGCUGUCAAGAGACAGCCACUAGAGGCUGGAUUAACCCUAUUAUAAACAUAACAGUUUCUCUGAAACCGCUGUGUUUAUAAAAAAAAAAAAAAAAAAAGGGUUAAUUCUAGAUGGACCUGGCACUCAGACCACUUCAUUAAGCUGAAGUGGUCUGGGUGCCUAUUGUGGUCCUUUAAUGUUAGCAUUAAUUAUGUCCGGCGGUAGCUUUAUGGAAUGGGGUUCCACGGCUGAGCAGUUGCAUGCAAGCCUCACAUCACCAAGUACAAUGCCAAGCGUCCGAUUGAGUGGUGUAAAGCACAACGUCACUGGACUCUGAAGCAGUGGAAAUGUUUUCUGUGGAGUGAUGAAUCACGUUUAUCAGUCUGAUGGGCGAGUCUGAGUUUUGGUGAAUGCCAGGAGAAUCUGCCUUACUGCAUUGUGCCAACUGUAAAGUUUGGUGGAGGAGAGAUAAUGGUAGGGACUGUUUUUCAGGGGUUUGGCUAGCCCACUUACUUUCAGUGAAGGGAAGUGUUAAUGAUUCAACAUACCAAGAUAUUUUGGACAAUUCUAUGCUUCCAACUUUGUGGAAACCGUUUUGGCUGGGCCCUUUUCUGUUCCAGCAUGACUAGAGAGCCCUGACCUUAACACCAUUGAACACCUUUGGGAUGAACUGGAAUGGAGAUUGUGAGCCAGGUCUUCUCGUCCUACAGCCGUGCCUGACCUCACAAAUGCUCUACUGGAUGAAUGGGCAAAAAUUCCCAGAGAAACACUGCAAAAUCUUGUGGAAAGGUUUUCCAGAAGAAUCGAAUCUGUUAUAGCAGCAAUGGGGGGAGACCAACUACAUAUAAAUGUCUAUGUAUUUAGAAUGUAAUGUCAUUAAAGUCCCUGUUGGUAAUGGUUAGGUGUCCCACUACUUCUGUCUAUAUAGUGUAUCUCCCCGUGCAAGCACACGCACUGGCUCGUGCAUAGCGUUCAGAAAGAACGCUGGUCUGAGAAGAGGUAUGCAGGGAACAGGCUCAAGGGGAGCUAACGGAAGCAGGAAGAAACCUCCAUGGCUGUCUGACUUCCUGGGGGUGUUCCAUUACUUGCUAAUAAAAGUUCAGAUUUCUUAUAGAAAUUGGCACUUUUAAAAAGUGCCUUUUUAAUAGGGUACUCCUUACCCAUAAUGCACUCUAGCAAGCUGAAGUACUUCAUUGGUGUGGAGUGGUUCUUUAAUAAUAAUUCUAGGCAUCUGCAUAUUGGAUGCACUGUGUAUACUGGAUUACAGUUGGCUAUGCCAGGUGUUUGUUCUUAUUCGUUUUCACAAGGUUUAUGUAAACAAUUCAUUAAAAUGGAGGCUGCUGCAUGUGAUCAGGUAAUAGGGAAAAAAUUAUAACAGUAAAUACUUUGUACACAUUGAACUAUAGCAGUAUUUAAUUAAAGGGAUACUGUAUUCCUGGCACUACCGCUCCUCCUGCCUUCCCCCUCCCUCGUGCUUCCCCUCCCCGGUAAAUAAAGUGUUAAAACCUUUUAUUUACUUACCGUUUCCACGCGCCAAUGUCCCUCGGCCCUGGGUCCACGCUCCACCCCCUCCAUUGUCCCACGACGUGUGGGGUCUAAUGCGCAUGCAUUAGACCUGCCCGUAGGAAAGCACUGAAUCAAUGCUUUUUUUAUGGGGAAAAAUAUGACGCUGGAUAUCCUCAUGUAGAACGUGAAGACGUCCAGCGUCCGAUACCGGAGCAAAUGUCCGUUUGAAUUCCCGGUAGACAGCCACUGAGACACUUUCUAUGGAAGUGCAAUGUUUAACAGUGCAGCACUAAGUGCAAUAGGGACACAGCACCAAGACCACUUCAGUUAGCUUAGGUGAUCUGGGUGCCUACAGUGUCCCAUUAAGGCAGGGGUUCAAACCCAGUCCUCAAGCACCCCCUACCAGUCCAGGAUUUAGGAAUUCCCCUGUUGUGUCUAAAGUGUUUGUCCCCACCCGAAAAGUCUCUAAUGCAAAAUCUUGUUAGCCUUAGUCUUUCAUGUGGAGAUCCAAAGUUAUUAGUUGUCAAAUAAAAAUAUAAUUUAUUCACCAGGCAGUGAAUUGAAAACAAAGUUUUGUAAAAUGUACUCCAAAAUAGCCAAGUUUAGAAUAGAGCAGAACUGGAGAGAUUUGAUAUUUAUCUUAAAGCUGUCCGUGGUCGGGGUGGGGACAGGUAAAGGUGAGUUCUACUUACCUGAACCUGUCUCUCACGGGUGGUGACCAUCUUCCGAAAAGGCGGAGCUACAGCUGUCAAGCUCUCGCGGGAACCUCCAUAGACAUCAGUCUUGCACUCUUGUGCAUGUGAAAACACAGCACUGACGUGGCUCCUAGCAGAUGAAACCAAGAAGCUGAAGAGCAUUCACCAGAUGGACAUGGCUGGAGCCGCAAGGAACGGCAUCAGGACAUACUUGAAAACAAGAGAAAUCUCAAUGUAUCUUUCCUGGUAACAUAUUUUAUAAAUAAUAAGUAAAACCUAUCUUCUCCUGAAUCCCCGGGUCACUGCACUGCAAGCAGCAAUAUCACCAUCACUGGUCAUUAUUAGUUAUGUCGUGAACCGUCCGCGAACUUCUCGCGAACGGUUCGCCGUGGUUUGCCACGAACCGUUCGUGGCGAACUCCGGUCAGCUGACACAUCCCGGCCAAUCUCCAGCAGACCCUCCCACCCAGACCCUCCUACUUCCUGGACAGCAUCCAUGUUGAAGGCUGCUGCAACAUGGAUGCUGUCCAGGAGGUGGGAGGGUCUGCCGGAGAUUGGCAGGGAUGUGUCAGCUGACCGGAGUUCGCCACGAACGGUUGGCCGCCAACCGUUCGCGAGAAGUUCGCGGACGGUUCGCGACAUCUCUAGUCAUUAUAUGUUUUGCAAAAGGUGGCAGCUGGUUUAAUGGCACCGGCAUUUACAAAUAGCAUAUAAUAAAUCAAUUUAAAACAAUAAUGCAACAUAAUUUUCAUGGAGCUUUGGACAAGUGCCUGUUCGUGGGCUGCGUGUGCUGACUGCAGAAAGUGUGAUGUCCAUUUCAGUGCAAGGAGGAGCUUUGAGUUCCACUUUUUUGGCAGAUUGAAUCAAAAUAAAUUGAGAAAACAGUGACUUUAUCCUAGUGCCAUGAUCUCUUCAAUAAGCAAAAAAUUUGUGAGCUGCCCAUGGUGUCCCUUUAAGGGUACUCUACACACCAGCCUUGUAUUAGUUAUUGUUCAAUAAGUAUUUGUAUGCCUUCCCCACUGUUUUGCCAAACAGUUUUUCAAUGGCUUUUCAAGCACAAAAUACCUGGUCGUUGUGCCACAGAUUUGAUAAUCACUUCUGGAUUACCUGUCCAAGUUCAUCCAAGUUUGGACAAUAGUGAUGAGCUUCACAAGAUGGGCAAAAUUGUCCCAAUGCUCACAGGCCAAAAUGGGCGAAUUGAAACCCAAAAAUCAACUCAGGAGCUUUGGCAUACAUUUUGCAAUAUCCCUAUCAGUUCUUCACAAUGACAAUUUAAAUGGAAAAAAAAUCCCAUAUGCCCUCAUAUAGUAGAAAAAACUAUUUUUAGGCCUGCAUAUUGAAUUGUGCCCUACUGAGAGGGUAGUGGGUGCACGGAAUAGCCUUCCAGCUGAAGUGGUAGAGGUUAACACAGUAAAGGAGUUUAAGCAUGCGUGGGAUGGGCAUAAGGCUAUCCUAACUACAAGAUAAGGCCAGGGACUAAUAAAAGUAUUUAGAAAAUUGGGCAGACUAGAUGGGCCGAAUGGUUCUUAUCUGCCAUCACAUUCUAUGUUUCUAUGCUAUUGUCAGACUUCAACAUUACUAUGUUUAUAGAGAGCCAGGCCCAUAGAGAGCUGCAGAUGAACAACCAGACCUUAAGGGUAUGGGUAGGUGUUUUCCAUAUAUUUACAAUGAGAUCAGUCAGUACAAAGGUUAGAAAUUGGCUCCUACUAAAUGCAUGUAAAGCAAUUUUAGCUUGUGAGUCACUCAGGUAACAUGUUUAGAUCAGGCUAUGCGUGCAUACAUUUCCAGAAUGGCAAAUGCAAAAAAGUCCCCAAGCAUGUUUUAGUUUUCCUGGUCUCCUUUUCGAGAAACAAAACCAUCUGUAAUUUUUGUCAACCACUCCCCUAAAACAUUACAAAAAAAGCUUAACAGAAGUUCACGAUUGAGUAAGUCAAGCUGCUAAUAGGCUGUUUGAGAAAUCUCAACAUUGAUCUAUGAGAUAUGUUUGUAAAAGAUAUGUGUAACCUUUGUAUUUGUGUGUGCGUUAUUGCAAAGGAUAAUGGGAGAUGUAGUUUAUCGCUAGUAAGAGAACUUUUAUAUGUUGCUGUAGAAACUGUGCUCUUUAUACCAAUAUAGUUUCCAAUUCUGGAUUACAGAUGUAACAUCCUGGAAUUGAAAAAUAAAUAAAUGGAGAGAUCAAGACCCAAACGUCAUCCUGUUCUUGCAAAGAUUUCUCCCCCCCGCCCCCCAUUAUGCAAAAUCUACAGGAUGUGCACAUAUUGACAAUGCAACGUGGCUGAAAACUAUAUAUAGGGUAUUACAUAGGAUUCAAUGACAGACUAUCACUUUGGAUUUUUUUUUAUAUUUUUACUUGUGCUCUUUGCAAUAGUCAGCUAUGUAAUGUGUCCCUUGGCUGGGUCUGGAUUGAACUAGAUUGUGAUUUCAAUAGCUAAAUAUUUGAACAUGCAUUUUAAUGAAAGUGAAUCAUGACGUGAAAAAAAGGUUAACACAAGUUGUAGCGAUUUAUUUUUUUUAAAGUUUAUUAUUAGGAUUUAAUUUCCAGAGUUUGUUACUGUAAACUUCAAUUUUAUUUAUUUAUUGUAAGAAAAAGAUUUAGCAAUUCUAAAGAAAUGAAUAACAUUUUUUUUUAAUGCUCGUUCCACUCACAGUGCACCAUUUUGAUUGCACAGAUACUAGCAAUGCAUUUUGAGAUGGGAGAAAUUGUACCUUUUUUUUUCCUAAAAUUAAUAAUUUCUUUACACUUUGAUUAGAACAAAACACACACACAAACUCUGUGCAAUGCAAACACACUCUGUUCACUCUGUGCAAUGCAGACCAAUCGUCUGUGGUUCUUUUUAAAUAUCUGUAACAUUAGAAGAGAGAACUUGCCGGCACGUCGGUACUGGACUGCUCUUGCAGGUGGGCUGUUGAUAGUAGAUAAUAGCUGUCGGACAUACAUGCAGGCUAGGCCAGGGCUAUUCAUUGCAAGUUUGGUGCUCCUAUUAAAUAAGGAUGAUUUGUGUGAUCUGAAAAAAAAAUCCCAAAACAGAAAAUAAAAUAAAAAAGGGUGCGCUAUAGUGAUAUGGAAAGUAUGCACACUGUAUGGUUUUGUGGGCAUCUGUUAUGCCCAUCUUGUUAUCUAAAUAGAUACUCUGACACAUUGCUUACUCUGGGUACUAUAAAGUGGAUGAUUUGCCUUAUUUAUUAUGUUACAUUUUUUUUCUCUCUUUUUUUUUUUUUUUACAGGCUGUUGCCCACUGAUGUUCCAGAAAAAAUAACCACACCUUCUAUGUGGGAACUAUUCUUCUAAAACUAUACCUCUGUAUAGUAUUAAAAAAAUGGCUUCAGACAGCCCAGAGUCACUCAUGACAAUAUGCACAGACUUUUGCCUGCGAAACCUCAAGGGAACCCUUUGCUACCUCCUUGACAAUGAAGUCCUCCAUCUUCACCCAGACAUCUUUCUGCCCAGCGAGAUAUCUGAUCGUCUAGUGAACGAGUAUGUAAAGAUCCUUAAUAUAGUGUAGUAGUAGUGGGUGGCAAAUAAUGCAAAUGCGAGAGAUUGGAUAAGGACUGAAUUCAUUUCAAACUAUUUAAAUGGAAAUAUUUUGGCAGGAAAAAAAAUAUCCUUUGCUUACAUUAGUUUUUCAGCUCACUGUAGGCUUCAUCUGGAUGAACCUAGGGAGGUGAAAUGGAUAGUGUGAGAAAAAGAAAUGUAAGCCUUAUUGGUACCAAUGCUGGUUAGACUUGGUACCCCAAAUUUUCACACAUUAUAUUUUGUGGGAUUUUUCUUUCACUAUCAUGAUGUACUUCCACAUAGCAGUAUGUGGGAUAUGUCUGUUAUGUGCCUUGUUUGUAUGUUGAUGUUUGAUCCUUUAGAAAUGUAUCCAGUAUAAGAAAAUUAUAAUUUUUUGAAUUAAACUUGUCCAGUUGCAGAAACAAAAUAAACGUAAAACAAUAAACCAUAAUAUUUAUUUUAAAAUAAUUUUUAUUAGAUUAAUAAUUUUUACAACUGUUUUGUUAAUGGAUUGCAACUUACCAGCCAUGUAACUGCGUUAUAUUAGGACUCGUUAGUUUUCACUUGUCUUACCAUAGUCUUGCACUACUUAUUAAAGAAGUUGCAAAAAUUCUUAAAAUGACCAGAAUAGGAUAGCUAUUAGAGGCCUGGUGCAUGCUGGGAGGUAUUACAUGCAGCAGACAGUUUAAAGGACCACUAUAGUGCCAGGAAAACAUACUCGUUUUCCUGGCACUAUAGUGCCCUGAGGGUGCCCCCACCCUCAGGGUCCCCCUCCCGCCUGGCUCUGGGGAGAGGAAGCGGUUAAAACUUACCUUUCUCCAGCGCCGGGCGGGCAGCUCUCCUCCUCCGAUCCUCCUCCUCUCCUCCCAUUCGGCUGAAUGCGCACACGUGGCAAGAGCUGCGCGCAUAUUCAGCUGGUCUCAUAGGAAAGCAUUCAUAAUGCUUUCCUAUGGACGCUGGCGUCUUCUCACUGUGAUUUUCACAGUGAGAAUCACGCAAGCGCCUCUAGCGGCUGUCAAUGAGACAGCCAAUAGAGGAUUUGGAGGAUGGAUUAACCCAUUUAUAAACAUAGCAGUUUCUCUGAAACUGCUUUGUUUAUAAAAAAAUGGGUUAAUCCUAGAGGGACCUGGCACCCAGACCAUUUCAUUAAGCUGAAGUGGUCUGGGUGCCUAGAGUGGUCCUUUAACUGGAGUUCUACUAAAAUCUAAUGCAGUAUAUAGGUUUCUUUCUUUCUGCAGUAAUCUAGAUGUUUACUAAAUGACACACCGACAGGAACAUUUGGAUGUUUUAUAAUUUUCCCCUUUGUUAGGUACAUUGAACUGGUGAAUGCGGAUAGCGGCUUUGAACCCCACGAGAGCUUUUUCACACUGUUCUCAGAACCGCAGAGCACAAGACUUACUCGUCUUCAUCUGCGGGAGGAUAUUGUUCAAGAUCAAGACCUGGAGGCCAUCCGUAAGCAGGUGAGCUGGGAAUCAUAUACUAUAAAUCUCACCCCUGACCUCAUUCAAAUGUUUUGUGCUUGCUAGUAGGUAGGAAUUGUUUGUUCUAAACUGCACUGAAUUUUCUAAUCUAAUCUAAUGUGGAGUUCAAAUUGGAUCUCAUUUAACAGGUCACAACAUCAUGCAUCUACAUAUGUUUUUCCCUUUAUUUUUAGACUACAUAUGCCAUACAUAUCUGUAAAUCCCUAACCCAAUAUUUGUUUUGCGUAGACUGAUUUCCUUAUUGUUGGGUAUCCAUAGCGAAUUCAAAGUAGUGUAGUAGUCUUCUCUAGAGCCUAAGUCAACAGUGUCCAUUUGUGCCUUUAUAGAAGACCUAUGGAUACUGCUCCUGCCCUAAUACAGUGUUUGUGUAAAGCGCCCUUUUUACAAGUCUGUUUCUUCAUUCUUUACAGGACCUUGUAGAGCUGUACCUAACUAACUGUGAGAGACUGACAGCAAAGAGUCUGCAGACCCUGGCAAGGUUUAGCUCGACCCUUGUGUCCCUCAGUCUCUUUGGUUGUCUCAACAUAUUUUAUGAAGAGGAAAACCUGGGAGGUUAUGAUGAAAGUGACUGUUUGGUCAACCCCACCCGCCAGGUUCUUGUCCGGGACUUUACUUUUCAAGGAUUCCAAAACCUGCGUUUCUUAAAUCUUGGCUCUAUCACCAAAGGUGUGGAUGUUGAGGUGAUGCUGCGUCCUCUGCGCUCUUUGAAAGCCCUAAACUUGUCGGGGAUCCAGUUAAAUGAUGUGAGCUUCCUAACACAGUGGAAAGACACCUUAGUAUCACUAGUCCUGUACAACAUGGACCUGUCUGAAGAGCACAUUAGAGUUCUCAUCCAGCUGCAGAAAUUGCGGUAAGUCGUUUGCGCUGUGGUCUGUUCAUAAUUAACUCAAUGCCUUCUCUUAAUUAGCAUAUUUGGAAUUACUGCUUCACUUAAUCAUCUUCUAUUUGCUUCAUGUAAUUAUUCUAGCCUGAAAUGAAUCACAGGUUUUAAUGAUCGGUAGCUUUUCACUCUUAAACUUGUCCUACAAGGUAGCUUUAUUAAGGUCCAAUGCUAUUCUGAACUUCUUAUCACUUGGGAAUAUUGGCCAUUUGGUGGUCCAAAGAUCUUACUUGAACUGGAAAUGGGAAGGCCCUGGUCAUAGGACCUUUUAAAGUGCCUCUGUCACCUUAUGUGGUGUUUGCAUAUUUUGCAAAGACCCUUGAUGGUGACUUUGCUGCUGGCUGUGUGGUGGCCGCGGGGUGCAGGAAUAGGUGAGAUUUAACCUGAUCCUGUCCCUCUUCUUUGUGGGAUCCUUUUUUGCUCCUGGUACUUCAUCUGCUAGGAAUUCACAUCACAUUCCUAUUGUGUUUUUAUAUACCACCUCCUCUAGAUUGUAAACUUGUUUAAGCAGUGUCCUCAUUAACCUAUUAUUCCUGUCAAAAUUUGUAAUAGUUUGUUUCAUUUGUUGUUAAAGUCCCUUUAAUAAUGUUAUAUAUUUAAUCUGGUGUCACUAUAUACAUGCCAAUAAUAAUGUGUGAGAGUACAAUCAUGAUGGGAGCCUCCAUAGACCAUCUUUUCACCCUCAACCUUGACAGAGCUUGGUUGCUUUAAUUCAGCCUUCUUGUCAAGCAUAGGAAAAAUACAUAAGUUCCUACUUUGUCUUAUGAUAUCCUUUGACUGAGUUGUACAUUUUAACACGCUCAGUGUGGGAAUUUCAUUAGGUUUUUAUCUUUAUAAAAUACUCAUUUGGGAGGAAUGGGGAAGGAGUAACAGAGUUGGUUUAGAGUGAGUAGUGUGCCAUAUAUUUAGAAGUUAAUCAUAAUGGUGUUUUGCUAAAUGCCAAUCCUCAACCUGUAUAUUCUUCAGUGUGCUGUAGGCUCAGCAAUUGUCUUUCUACAAACAAAGUGACUAAUAUAAUUAUAUCUUUGUAAAUAUUUUAAUCAGUGGACUACUAUGGGAUUCCUGGCCUUUUGAUACACUUUAAUUAAAAUUUUAAUUGAAUGGCAUCAGCUCAGCAUGAGGGACAAUAAGUCAUGUUUUUGACCUCUGUAGUGAUGACACGUAUCUUUUGCAUCUGAGAUGUCAUAUUUAGCCAUAGCCUGGCCUGCAGACUUCAUGGGAGAACGAGACAUCCACUGGCCUAUAGACAAGUAUCAAAAACCUACCUGGCAUGAAGCAGUGAUAGUUAAUCUCUAAAAAUUAAUCAUUUGCAGUAUCAAACGAUGGCUAUCACACAUAUAAUGAUAGAUCAGUGCUAGCAUAAAAGGAACAUUGAUUAGGACUGACAUAAAUGGAGUAUUGAUUAAGACUUGCAUAAAAGGAGUAUUGAUUAUUAUUGGCGUAACAGGAGUAUUUAUCGGGACUGGUGUAAUGAGAUUGUAGAGUGAGCGUUAUAAAAUGAAAGUAUAAUGUCAAACUAAAAUACAGGGAAUGGAGAUUGUAGAAGACAGAUAGGAGAGCACAGGAAUAAACAGUAGAGAAUAGAGUCUGGAAUAAAGGGGAGGGCAGCAAUGAUAAGAAUUGCUGGUGUAGUAGGGUCAUAGAGGGGACUGAUAUAAAAGCAGCUGUGAAUAGAAGGGACAGGCUUAUAUAGGGGGUUUAUUGGCCAGAAUUACCAUGGAAGAGGCGAGAACUAGGGAGACCAGAAGGUAAGUUAUUGGCUUGGUGGAAGGGGAAUAGUAAAAAGGCACAUUGUUAUGUAAAUUGGCUAACCUGCCAAGAGCCUUUAUUAUAUUAAGUGUGUGUGUGUGUGUUUCUAUAUAAUGAUGGCUUGACAAAUCCACUAUGUCAUGGCAUCAUGGUGACACAGAACUGAGAUCUGGUGCCAUGCAUUUGGCUCUCUGCAGGUUAGAGUAGAUCAAAAGACCUUUUGGGCUGGUCACCAAAGACUGUAAGGGAAUGAGUCUCUUUUAGCUGUGUCCCCAGAAAGUUUUCUCUGCUGUCUCAAAUCGGCAUCCACCCUUACCGAUAAAACGCACACCUUAAGUAAAGUGGUUUCCGGACGCUUGUUUAACCCCUUAAGGACACAUGACAUGCGUGACAUGUCAUGAUUCCCUUUUAUUCAAGAAGUUUGGUCCUUAAGGGGUUAAACGCAGCCUAUAAAGACUGCUGCCCUCUAAUGCAUUCAUAAAACUGGAACAUUUAAACAACCUUUAUCUAGGUAUGAAACUGUUAUGAUAGACUGAAUUGCCGACCUUUCUACAACUGCAAACAGUACACAUUGUUUAACUACCAUGGGAUAUCCCAGUGCCGUCACUGUGACCCAUAUAUCCCUAAGUCACAUGUGACUUAAGAGUUACCAGACAGUUUUUCAAAAUUCUGUGUUCUCCUUUCAUACAAUAUAUCAAAUAUCUCCUGAUUCACAAUACUCAAAACCUGAUUAAUUAAAGAGCGAAUGGAUAAUCUGCACAGUACGUUUGCAUUUUAUUUCUACCAUGUGUGAUCUGUACUAUGCGGAACAAAAUACUGGUACAUUUCUAGGUUUCUAAAUGGAUUAAACGCUACACUGCUGCUAUUAGGUCACUCAUUCCAUUGUCAUUCUUUCUCUUGGCCAUACAGACACCUUGACAUCUCACGUGACAGGCUGUCCAGUUAUUACAAGUUCAAACUGACUCGGAAAGUGCUAGGCCUUUUUGUGCAGAACCUGGAAGAUCUUGUCUCAUUGGAUAUCUCUGGUCACCUGAUGUUGGAAAACUGUGCAAUUUCCAAGAUGGAUGACGAACUCGGUCCUCCCAGGUAAGAUUAAGGGGGAAAGGAGAGGUCAUGGUAUUAGCAUACCUAGGGAAAACAAUGAUGUAUACUGAAAAUAGUAUUCUGCAGGUUGUAGAUAGGCCUUUAAUAUUUAGCAAUGAUAAUUUGUCACACCCGUGAACCAUAGGAAAGCUUUUUGUGUGACAGGAUAUUGAGCUUCUAGCUUUAAGCAAUGUACACCAUUGAAAUAUGUCAGUAAAAUCCUAGCACAAUCAAAAGACACACGUGAGACAAAGUAGGGGCUGCUUUGUUUCAUGCACAUUUGGAAAAUUGCAAAACAAGAUUAAGAUAUUGAUUAAAGGGACACCAUAGUGACAAAAACAACUUUAGCUUAAUGGAGCAGUUUUGGUAUAUAGAUCAUACCCCUGCAGUAUCACUGCUCAAUUCUCUGCCAUUUAGGAGUUACAUCACUUUGUUUGUGCAGCCCUAGCCACACCUCCCAGCAUGUGACUUACACACCCUUCCUAAACAUUUCCUCUAAUGAGUCAUGUAAUGUUUAUACUUCCUUUAUUGCAAAUUAUGUUUACUUUAAAAAUGUCUUAUCUCCUGCUCUGUUAAUAGCCUGCUAGACUCUGCAGGAGCCUUCUGUAUGUAAUUAAAGUUCAAUUUAUAGAGCAGGAGAUUAAACUUCAAAACUAAGUUAGAUCUGACUGAAAAUGAAACCAUUUUUUUUCCAUUCAGGCUGUGUCAGUCACAGCCUGGGAAGGUGUGGCUAGGGCUACGUAAACAGGAAGAAAAAAAACAGAUUUGAUUCCUAAAUGGCAGAGAAUUGAGCUGUGAAACUGCAGAGGCAUGGCCUAUACACACAAACUGCUUCAUUAAGCUAAAGUUGUUUUGGUGACUAUAGUGUUCCUUUAAAUACUGGUUGUCUGGUCAUGUCCAUUAAGCUGUAGCUGCCUGGAAUAAGGAUCUUCCUGAGUGAUGUAGAUACCUAUCAAAGUAAAAAAAAAUAUAUAUUUUUUUAUUUUUAACAUGCAGCAAUAUUUGAGCCUUGAGGCAAGAUAUUUUUUUAUAUUUCUUGCGAUUUAUCAUCUGUAAUUAACUUUUGAGUUUGCAUAACCCUUGAAUAUAAUUUUUUUUUUUUUCACUUUUAGUAUUGAACCCUCUAAGAGCAGCAUCAUUCCUUUUCGAGCUUUGAAAAGACCUCUGCAAUUCCUUGGUCUCUUUGAGACCUCCCUCUGCAGUUUGACACACAUCCCAUCCUACAAGGCAAUUACUCGCUUGAUUUCUACACUAUUAAUAUGGGACAACAUUCAACAUGCACCUAUGACGCUUUAUGGCGAUACCAAAUGAAAGCAGAAUGUUUAGAAAAUAUAGGACAGCAUUUCCAAAAGCCACUUAGAGAAACACUGACGCCUAACUUUUUGCUCUGUUUUUCAUAGGUGAGCGGGGAUAAGAAUGAGGAGCAGGUGCUAAAUGCCAUCGAGGCAUACACAGAACAUCGUCCUGAGAUAACGUCUCGUGCCAUCAACCUCCUCUUUGACAUUGCUCGUAUAGAAAGGUGCAACCAGCCACUGCGAGCUCUACAGGUAGGAGAACCUUUGCUGUAAUUUGUGCAAAAUGCAUGGAAUUAAGAUGGGUGUUUUUAGCUUGCUAAAAAAGUACCAACAAAAAUAAGGAUGGAGUUUUAAUUUAAUCUCCGUAUCACAGACAGUAAAAAGUUAAUCAUCAUAUUGACAGAUCGAGAACUUCGUUUCAUUGUAAAGAUGAAUAAGAUUAAUUUCUACAAUCUCACCUAUGUUUCUCUCUCUCUCUCCAGCUGGUUAUUGCUGCUCUGAAGUGUCAUAAAUACGACAAAACUAUUCAGGUGACUGGAAGUGCCGCACUAUUCUACCUGACCAAUUCUGAGUAUCGAGCUGAGCAAAGCAUUCGACUCAGGCGGCAGGUCAUCCAAGUGGUGCUAAACGGCAUGGAGUCUUACCAGGAAGUGACAGUAAGCGUUUGUACAUCUCUAGUUUUCCUACUGCUUUUCAAACUACAUGCUCUGAUGACCAAAGUAAGCCAUCUUUCUCUUUAGGUGCAAAGAAACUGCUGUCUCACACUUUGUAACUUCAAUAUCCCAGAAGAGCUGGAGUUCCAGUAUCAACGGGUUAAUGAGUUACUGCUAAACAUCCUCAUACCAACCCGGCAAGAUGAGUCCAUUCAACGCAUUGCUGUCCAUCUCUGCAAUGCCCUCGUCUGCCAGGUGGACAAUGAUCACAAGGAGGCUGUCGGCAAGAUGGGUUUUGUCAUGGUAAGCGUAGAUAAAGGGAAAUUGCAUUUGAGACAGCGUCACUGACAAUGGCAACCAGUGCAAGAGCAUCGCUGUUGCGGGAUCGGGAUUCACAGCAGAUGAAAAACAGUCAACUUAAAUGGGUGAUAAAUCCACAACUGCGUGUCCCCUUUAGUGAGUGAGGUCUGCCUUAACAACAAACUACUGAGUAAAUCAAUUUUGCUUAUUCCUUCUCUUCCUUAGACUAUGCUGAAACUGAUACAGAAGAAGCUACAGGAUAAAAUGGUGCGUAUUCUAAUGUUUAAUCACAGUUUACAUUUCAUGGUAACAAUAUUUUUUCACCUACAUACAAAAUGUAGGCUCAGUCUGUAAUGUAUCUAUCCGUUUUCUUUUCUAAAUGAACUCUUUCUGGGUUGUGUUUACUGAUUCUAUUUAGAAAUCUGUGGCAAUGGAUCCUUUUGUCAGUUCACAAAUGACUGGAGUCCAUAUCUUCUCUGUCUCUUUUUCCUUCCGGUAGUGUGACCAGGUUAUGGAGUUUUCUUGGAGUGCUUUGUGGAACAUUACAGACGAGACCCCAGAUAAUUGCGAGAUGUUCCUCAACUACAGUGGCAUGAAGCUAUUUCUCGAGUGCCUAAAAGUGAGUGGUCUAUCCAAACAUAUUUUAUGGCAAUGUACCCUUUGGGUAGCAGUUUGCUAAUUGCAAAAUGUGGGUAAUACCGUCAAAAUUGGCACACAAAAAAGUGUACUCCUUAAAGACUGUAUUCAAAUUUGACGGUAAUUGCUGACCAAUUAUAAGCAAUUUUGGUCAUCUGAAAAAUAAUAUAUACUUCAAGACAUAGUUUAGCAAUUUGUCUGUGUAACACGUCAAAUUCCAGGGCUGCCAAGCCCCAACUCUGGAUUCAGUCUAUUAAACUCUUGGAUAUAUUGAGUCAAUGUUGGGACCAUACAGUCCACGUAGUGGUUAUAGUGCUAUGCAUCAAAGAGCAGUGGAAGUCUGAAAGUUGUUUUUCAGAAAACCAGCACAUAGACUCAUAACACCAUAACCACCACAGUGAACUGUGGUUUAAGUAUGGUUAAUUUCCAUCUAGAAGAAAGAAAAUGCAUGAAUUUACUGAGCCAAAACAGCCUUUCCAGAGGGGAAAAAAAACUGUAUUACUAGAAGCUUCUAUAUUGUGUCAGCCCAUCAUACCCACCCUGUUGAUAAUAUUGGUGCUUUAUACCUAAACAUCUGAAUUCAAACGCAUCAUCUGUCUACUUUUCAAUUCUAGGAGUUUCCUGAGAAGCAAGAACUUCACCGCAACAUGCUGGGGUUGCUGGGAAAUGUGGCUGAAGUGCGUGAACUUCGUCCACAGCUAAUGACAUCACAAUUCAUCAGUGUGUUCAGGUAGGUUCACAGCCUUAACAGCAAACUUGCUAUUUGACGUUUUAAUGAUGCAGACGUAAUGUUUAUUGGGACUUGUCAUUUAUUGCAUCUGGUGAUUUGACAACUUUGCAUUACAAAUUGUAGGCUGAAAUAGCUAAACAAAAAAAAAAUAUUAAGGAAAAAUCGCAAACGCAACUUGGCUGAAGAUAUUGUUUUCCAACUUUUAUUUCCCUUAGGUUUUGCACAUUAUUAGUAAACAUUCUUAUUGUUUUAUUGUACUGAAGAGACCUUCUUGUGUUUCUCUUGGCAGUAACCUCUUGGAGAGUAAAGCAGAUGGCAUUGAGGUGUCUUAUAAUGCUUGUGGUGUGCUGUCACAUAUCAUGUUCGAUGGUCCCCAAGCGUGGUUCAUUGGAGAGCCAACCCGCCAGGAGGUGGAAGAACGAAUGUGGAAAGCCAUCCGGAGCUGGGACAUCAGUUCCAGAAGAAACAUUAACUACAGGUGAAAAUAGCAACAUUCUGUCUAUAUAAAAUGUGGUCCUGUUGCCAUUUUCUUUUAAUUUUUAACUUAACCGCAGCUAGUGCCAUUUAAGCACACAUCCACAUUUCUGUGCUAUGUACAAAACAAGCAAGGGAUGCUAAAAAUAUAAAUCAAGUAUGCAUUCUUUCGUAAUUUAAUUACAUGUUUAAAUAUGGAGCCCUAUAAAAACAUGACAGUAAGAAACUUGGUGGAAAGGGCACAUGUUUCAACAUCAACUCCUCCUCUAUUGUUCUUGUUUACAGGAUUGUUCUUUGUGAUUGGUCAUCAGAAUGACUCUACCUUUUACACACACACACACACAAGCACGCAUCAGUGCUUGCUUUGACUUUUUGCUAUACAAGUUCAGUGAAGGUUAUUAUAUUAAAUGUGUACUGCACUCUCCAUAUAGCCGAGAGCUACACUCUUCAGUCGCUCAACAUUCUAAUAGAGGGGAGGUAGAUGUUGGCAGCUGUGUCCGUCCCAAAGAUAUCAAAACAUCUUUAUUGUCAUUAUUAUUAUUAGCAUUUGCAUAGCACCAACAUAUUCGGUAGCGCUUUACAAUUUUGAAAGGGGAGAUUUAGAAGUGAAGAUGGUCCUACUCAAAGCUUUGUCUAUGAAGAUUUAAUGGAGGUUAGAUGUCUUGCCCAGGGACACGAGCUGGUGAGGUGAUCUGACCAAUGUUUGUUUCAUUGACCAGCUUUAGUUUGUAGUUUUUCUCCCUCAAUAAAAUUAAUGGAAAUGUUUUUGAGAAAGUUAGGCCAUCACGCAGACUUUGUGUAUUCUAUAUUCUGUAUCAUCCAUAAGACACAUGAUGAUAUUUUUCAGAUUUAAUCUAUAUACUGUUUUAGAAAAAUCUUCAAAAACUGUAUAGGUUGAAAGAUGUAUACAUAUAGUAAACCUGUCCUCCAAAUUUAUGUUGAUUAUAAGCUCAUAUUCAGGUAGAUAUGGAUAAUAUAUAUAUAUAGACUCUGAUGGCAAAACAACCAUAAAAUGUAUAAAUUAAAAGAUAUACUCAUCUAGAGUUUACACACUAAACUAAAUGUAAGUUGUAUUCCUAAUUUCUUAGUGUUCACAGCACUGUCUGCAUAACCGCGAAACCCAGGGAGGUCACAUAAAAAAAAAAAUCACUGAUUAAGAUUUAAUUCUAUACAUAUGCUUGCAAAAUGUGCAGAUGAAAGCAUAGUCAUACGCAGGAGUGUUGAGCAGCUCAACAGAGGAAGUGUCAUUGCAAGCUUUUAAUAUAACAUAUUUCUAUCUGUGUCCAUACAUUUGUUGAUGCCAUUGUACAGAUAAAAUAAGAGCCCUGUAAAGCAGGUCUCUGUCAUAAAUUCAUUAAAGAGUCCCUUUGAUGGGCUAUUUUUAUUUGUCGUUUUCGCAAAUCUGGUAUGUUAGCAAUUGCUAGAAUCUAUUUUUUUUCCUGCAGAUCAUUUGAGCCCAUUCUUCGGCUCCUCCCCCAAAACGUAUCUCCAAUCAGCCAACACUGGGCAACCUGGGCACUUUAUAACCUUGUCUCUGUAUAUCGUAAGUAUCACAACCAGGAGAUGUUACAGUCACGUACUAGACUGACAAUGUCUACAUUUUGCCAUGACAGCUUUUGGGAGGCUGUUUCCAGGGAUGCUUUGCAAGCGGUACAGUACUAACCUUUUUGCAAUCCAACCUUUGUGAACAGUUUCCAUGAUGGUCUGUCAGUUUUGCUGCAGAGGACCAUUGAAACUGUAGUCCACAACAGCUGGAAUGCCAAUGUUUAACAACAUAUGAAUGGAGUGAGCAUUGAUGUUACAGAUUCCGUUGUAACAUCUCACUAUUCCUUGUUGGAAUAGGUAGGAAUUGGUCAGGCCUAUCAAAGUACAGUGUUUGAUGAGUUUCUUUAUCUUAGGCAUUUAGUGUCUCUAUAAAGAAACACAGUAGAGUGUUAAAUCACAAGUUAAUCCAGGUGCAUACACCAUAGAGAAGAAGAUCCAUAACAAAUGUCCUACCAAACAUGCCGACACAGAACUUCUGAUAAAAUGCUCCAGGGCCUGUCUUUUCUCCCCCUGUUCUGGCAAGAAAAGGUCCCACCACCUCUUUAUGGUUCCAAUGCGUGGAAGACCUUUGCUCCAUUGAGGAGCUUGUCCUUAGUGCAGAGGAACGCCAGCAGUCCUAUUUAGACCCACUGGCUGCUAUCCAUUGGUACAGUUGAAUUCCAAGCCAUGCUGACAUGAGAACCUAAUUGUACCAUCACUACUAUACAGAUAGAGCUGAAUGUGUGGGGGAGAUUUUUAUAGAAAGACACAGUUCACUAAUUUGGUGCACUAAUGGUUUAUAGGGUUGUUGGUUAUAUAUAGCGACAAUUUGGUAGGAGUAUGUUUUACACAAGUAACUACAUGUAACCUGCCUUUGUAUCUAACCUGGAAACUCAAUAAACAUUGAUUUACACAAUAAAAAUGCUCCAGGGCCAGAAACGACAUAGACCUACUAUUUACAAUCUGUGAGUGUGCUUAUUACAUUUCUAGUUAUGUGUUACAUUACUGCCACUGUAUAGUUUUCAACAUGGAGCAAUAAAGUCUUGUCAUUUUUAAACUGGUAAUCUGCUUUGGUGGUAUUUCCAGUUUCUGGCACUGGAGCAUUUUCUUGUAUUUUGUAAAAAGAAAAAAAUAUAUAGUAAUUUUGCCUAAAGAAACAGGAUCCGUCUUACUAACGUGAUGUGUCUUUACUGUACUACAGCAGACAAAUACUGUCCAUUGCUGAUCAAGGAAGGAGGGCUCCCUCUGCUGGUAGAUCUUGUCAACAUGCCUUCAUCCCACCAAGAAACAAAGGAUAUGGCCAGGUACUGUAGCUGGCUGGAAAAUGAAAUGUAAAAUGUAGUUGCAGACAGCUGGUUUUCAAUAUAGUCAGGAUAGUUCUUUAAAUGUAGCAACUGACACACUGGAAAAAAAGACUUGAUCCAUGACCAAUCAGACAUUGGCUGUUGUCUCUGUACACAUGAACUCUGCAUGUUGUGGCCUAGUUCCGGGUGCGCUCAUAGGCUGGUAAGUGUGGCGUCAUUAAAGUGUAUUUGAGGCACUGAUUGAAGGCAAAGCAGUGUGGUAGUGCUGGUCACAGUGGGUUAGUUUGUUACUGGAGAUGACUGCAAAUAGAGGACUUUAUAAAGGACUGGGACACUUUAUUUGUAUAAGUGUCACUCCCAUAGGGUUCCAUAGGGCUUGUGGAAAUGGAAUAUUGACUCACUGUGACUUUUAAAUGUACAAGAUUAAAAAAAGCAAUGCAAAUACCAGUGAUGAUUAUAACCUUUUUUAUUUUUUUAAAGUUAUUUUCUUUUCUUCUAAAACUAAUCCAAAACCUGCAACUCUGGGGGUAUUAUUAGAUUACGGACAGCUAGUAGCUAUUGUAGAGAACUUGUCACCAAAAGUUACUUCCCAACAUUACCAUGUAUUUUUACACUAGAUGUGUAUAUGUACCAAGAUAUCCCGCAGUGCUGUACAAUAGGUAAAAAGGACAAACAGUUAUGGUGAUUCUAACAGUACAUUAUUGUCAUUUAUAUAGCGCCAACAGACUCCGUAGCGCUUUACAAUAUACAAUAUAUAGGGCAUUUGGUUAUCUAGUAACAUACGCCUUUUUCUCUCCCUUUAAUUUAGGAAGUAAUUAAUUCCAUUUUCUGUUUGUUUUUUUCAGGAAAGUCCUUGAACAUUGCAGUAAUUAUAAUGAAGAAAGUAUGGACACAGCACUAUAGAAAGCACACCUGCAACAUCAAACUUCAAUGCCCUCUGCAACUCUCCAAAGAGAGAACCUUUUACCUAUCUAAAAAAAAAAAAAAAAAUACAAAUCAAAAUUGUAGAGGGUCAUCUACAGCCAACAUCAAUUGACUUGGAGAGACUAUUUUUAUUAUUCUUUUUUUUGGCACACAAGAAAACCUUAUUAUGUUUGGUUUAAUAUUUGUUGAUUUGAUAUAUAUUUGGAUGUGAUCAACUAUAAAAGAAACAGUGAAUUAAGAGACAUGGUGAAAUCUGCUCCAGGACAUAUAUUUCUCUGAAGCAGUUGAUGCAAUGUAUUUUGGGAUUUCUAUUCAAUGAUCAAUUCAGCACUUUACCUGUUGGGUCACCUAUCCAAUAAUAGAGGUGAUCGCACUGUGUUUGCAAGCUCUGAAUCAAGCAGACAUGGGGUUAUGUUCUCUCUCUGUGAUGCACACAGAUUCUUAUCUGUCACCCAGCUUUGAGAAGGUCUUGUAGCCUCUCCCAUGGAAUGAUUCCACAAAGAUUUAAAUAAGUAUCUUCACACUAGUGAAAUGCAUUCAAAAAUGAAAUCUGGCAGAGAUUAAAAUAAAAGGAAGUUGUUGAGCGUUCACGUCACCGCCUCACACCACGUAUGUGCACCAGAGAGCACUGCCGUAAACUUUGUGUGCUAGCCUGCAUAGUGUGGCGUGGCCUCACUCAGAAUAAGUGGACUUCACUGCCAUUCUCUGCUGUGGACCUGGCUUUCAAAGCACUCUGUGCUGAUAUUCUUAACACUCGCUCUGAAACAGAACAAAUGAAUUGCAAAUCUUCAUCCCGUGAGUCAGUAAAUGUGCUUUAAAACCUAUAUAUGUAAGCAAGAGGACCUAUUAAUUGACCACUGCCAGGAUCUGUCAUAGAAUUGAGAUGUUUUCUAGGUAUGGUCUUGAGUUCAUUAGAGGAUUUGGCAAUGAUAAUGUAAACUUAACAGAUUUACAAAAAAGACAAAAUCACUUGGGAUAAAUUGCCGAGACUAUUACUAAGUUAAGGGUAUUUUGACUUUCCUAAAGUACAAUAGAAAUGAACUAUAACCUGUGUGGAUAACUGCAAAUUUUCAUCAUAAAAAGUGUUGCAGGCAAAGCCUUUCAGCCACCUUUGUUGAAGGGGCCUACAGUCAUUACUUUUUAAAGGGUUAAACGCCUCCACGUGAAGACAGAAUUGAGAAUCUAUUUAAAAUGGGGAGAACAAAAUGACUGAACACCUAUAUAAGGACACAGUGCCAAAGCUUUCGAGGAGUGGAGACUAGGACUGUGGGGACAGCCAUUUGAAACCUAAAAUCUGUGAACAACACCGGUUACAAAUAUUAUUCAUGUAUUAAUGCAAUGGGCUGUAGAACUCUACUCUAAAUUAUCACUUUCAAGGAACCCAUAUGUAAGCCAUUACCAUAAAACCUGUCUAUAUGUUGUGUUGACAUUUGUAGCGGUGUAUGCAUAAUUUUUUUAUUAAUAAAUUUUAAUCUGCCUUCCUUAAAACACAUGAUGGCUGGCAAGGUAUCCCUCUUCUCGCAUUUGGAUGUUACAAAUCCUUAACCCCCUUAAGGACACAUGAUGGAAAUAUUCCGUCAUGAUUCCCUUUUAUUCCAGAAGUUGUGUCUUUAAGGGGAUACAAGUAUGAAAGUCCAUUAAAAAUCGUAACCUGCAGAAACGUUAAAAUAAAAGGUUAACACAACAUAGAGAGAGCGUUUUUAUACGCUGUGUGACAGACCCACUUUAUAUAUUGGCGCUAAAGCCUUCUGUUAUGAGAAUAGCGCUAUGUGAUGGAUAAGGAAGUGUCAGGAGAGAUGAAAGCUCUUAAUCACAUGUAGUCAAUUAACCCCCAUUCAAUGUCACUAAUCUAUCUGAACACCAGUUCAAGACCAUACGGUUAAUUCUGACUUCAUGUACACCUCCCACAACUACAUGCUGCCCUGCUAUGUAGAAUUUAUAUGCUGUAGGAAUGAAACUUCAUCGCUUCACACAAUUUGUUUUGAUUAGUGAAUCGACAUUCUCUUUUUUUUUUUGAGACAUAUAGAAUGAUACAACACCGCAAUAUCAUGUACACAGCAGAGUUUUAUGUCAUACAGAAUAUAAACUGUUAACAUUUGGUGUUGAUUAGUGAAUUGAUCACAUCCCUACAGAACAUGAAGGCUACAUACUGCAGGGGAGCACAAUACACUAUGUGUCCAGGUACCUAAUGGUGGGUCAGGCAUUCUCAUAUAUAUCUGUUUGGCACGUGGCAUCAAAAGAUUCAAUGCCAACGCUUUGUAAAUGGGUUCAUAUACUCUGAGAUUGCUCUUUUAUAUGUAUACUUACCUACACAACCUAACCGUGGUAAUGGUCUUUAAUCUGUUUGAAAUCUGCAAUUAUCUGUGUGUCAAGUAUCAAUUUCCUCUAUUUGUUUCUAAGUUUUCAUCUCCUAUCUUCUCCAUUAUAUUUUGGGGUUUUGUUCUAAAGUGUUCUUUAGGGAAUCUGCAAUAUUAUCUUAUUUCAUGAUACCCAAAGAAGGGUGGAAAGGCUUGAAAAAAAACAUAGUGGCCAUAGGCUUUUAAAAACAAAAUAUUGUUUUUGUCUCAACAUUGUGUCUAUGGCAAAAGUCCUAGAGAGGCAAUGAAAUGGGACUGGUGUUGCACUUAAGAUUCACACAGAAGUUUACAUACCUGAACACUUAUCCUCUCACUGUCUCCUGGAGGACCUCAAUUUAAUAAGAGAUGUACUGCAAGCCUCAUGGAUAACUAAAGGAUCAACUUUUACGUGGGGGCUACCAUAUUUUUGAAUUCCAUGGCACAAAUUAGAUUUAUUAUGGACUCUGAUUCCUUGUGUUUGUCAUUUUGCACCAAAAUCCACUCCACGAUUCCUCAUUAUGAACCAAACAUGCAGCAGAACAUUCACAAAUUGUAUUUUUCUGGUUCUCCCAAAUGUAGCAAAGACUUUUACUGCCUUAGAGGAAUUUGUUUUCAAUCAUCCCUUUGGAUUUCUCCACUCAUUAGCUCACCUUUACUCCCUUAGAGGGCUGUAUAAAUACCCAUCGCAUUGUAGGCGUACAGUAACACUGUGCAAUGUGUUUGUAAAAAAUAAAAAUGUACAAAAAAAAAAAAUUUUAAUCUGAUGUGCGUAAUUAAUAAAGUUCCAUUAGAAGGAUGAAAGAGGGUUGUUGUGUUGGUUCCAGAUUGCGGUGGCGAUUAACACUUUCAGUUUCACACGUAGCAAAGUCUGUUGUGACACCUGACAUGUCAUUAGUGUUCUGGAGGGGUUAAUUAAUUGAUAUACUGAUUAACAUGAG